rnacentral:rRNA from 1 species
UACGUAGGGGGCUAGCGUUGCUCGGAAUCACUGGGCGUAAAGCGCACGUAGGCGGCUUUUUAAGUCAGGGGUGAAAUCCUGGAGCUCAACUCCAGAACUGCCUUUGAUACUGGGAAGCUUGAGUCCGGGAGAGGUGAGUGGAAUUCCGGGUGUAGUGGUGAAAUGCGUAGAUAUCCGGAGGAACACCAGUGGCGAAAGCGGCUCUCUGGGGGCAACCUGACGCUGAGGCGCGAAAGCGUGGGGAGCGAACCGG